rnacentral:SRP_RNA from 1 species
GCAUGGGCGCCGCCAGCCUUGUCUGCAUUGUUCAAGGUCUUGUGGCGGAUUACGGUGCGCUUUCCGGGUGCUUAGCGGGUUACGGAAACGGCCUACUAAAUUCUCCAAUAAUAAAUAGGGAAUUGUAGUAGACCGUUUCUGCCGCCCGCUAAGCACCCGGAUAGCGCUCCGUAAUCCGCCACAAGACCUUGAACUAU